AUGUUUUGUACGCGUGUAUUGAUGAGUACUCCUCUUGACUCGAUUGUGUUGCAGGGAGUGAAAGGAAAGCAUCCAGUUGGGGUGGUCUGCAGUUCUGAUCACCUCGAGCAGCACCACAUAAUCAAAGUUCCAAACAAUAGUGCUGCACUUCUGCCUCCAGCAAGCAUUUCGAUCACUUUGAUGUUUAUAGCUACACGCACCAACUCGAUGUACGGCGACUCCAUGGAGCAAGUCGAGUUCGUGGAGCAAGUCAUGGACGAUGCCAUGGAAGAUUCAAAAGAUAUAUGGAUGAUUAUAAUGGUGCGUGGCAAGUAUAUUGCAAUGAUGAUGAUGUUCCGUUUCAUGAUGAUAAUGAUGUUCCGGUCCAUGAUGAUGAUGAUGGAUGCUAUCAGUUUUAGUUAA
rnacentral:rRNA from 1 species